AUGAACUUAAUGAAACUUAUUGUCAACAUGUUAAAAGUUACUAAACGUUUGCAUGACAUGGAACGUCUUUGUGCAAAUGGAAUAAUUGUGUCAUGUUAUAGCAUGAUACAAGCCCAUGUUUACAUAUCAACUGUAUGUCUUAGCAUGUUACUGGCAUGCCUGUUAAAUUAAUCUCAAAGCUCAAUCUGUUGAAAUUUCAAAAAUGUAGCACUCAAAAAUUUGGACAUUUUCUAUAAUGUUGAUCCCUGAAAACAGUAUUUUCAAGUUGACAACAUACUGUACAGUGUAUAUGAACUUUUAUGAAUUUUAUGAUGGUGAAAAAUUAUGCUAAUAUGUAUUAAAUUAAACAAAAUUAAACAACAGAAGUCCAUUUACACCUAUUAGGUGUCUAGCAAAUAACAAGAUGCACUAUACACAGACACUAUACAAAGUAAGCUGCCAAGGCAGCCAUUUUGUCUUUAGGUUUUUUAGGAUUGUUACGGCGUCCCCUGCCCCGUCCCCGUCCUCCUCGUCUUGCACCCCCUCCCCGAUGCCUCAUGGUGGCAUGUUUGAGCUCCACCAGAUCCUGGAAAACCGGAUCACAGAAAACACAGCCGGUAUGUUGGGUCUCACCUGCAGGAAGUGGAGUGCGAGUCUUGUUGAAGUCCACCGCGACCAGAGAGGCGUCACAGACAUCGCAGCUCUCUUGAACAACCUAUGGGAAGAGAGAAAACCGCAGAAAUUGAUAGAGAAUAGAGGCAACGAAGUAGCGAGAGGGGAAGACAAGCAGCAAAGGUCAACAGGAUGCAUUCGAACCCGGGCCGCUGCGGACUCAGCCUUGUACAUGGUCCCCUACCACUGCCACAGCUGUGUCAUCAGCAAAACUGAUAAUGGUGUUAAGAGUCUGAAUUCCUGGGGUGCUUCAGUGUUAGUGGAAGAGGUAUGUCCACCCAUCCUCGCCACUUGGGGUCUGCCCAUCAGCAUGUCAAGGAUCCAAGUGAGGUGUUUAACUCCAGGUCCUUGAGCUUUGUGACAAGCCUGGUAGGGAAUUAUUGUGUUAAACACUGAACGGUAGUCAAUGAACAGCUACCUCACAGAGCUACAUUUCUUGUCCAGGUGAGAUAGGGUUGUGUGGAGGACGUGUGCUAUGGCCUCUUCUGUUGAUCGGUUGGGACAGUAGGCAAACUGUAGUUGGUCCAGUGUGCUGGGUGUGCAUAAUUUGAGGACCCAGCCACUGACACUGUCUGGUCCUGCUGCUUCCUGGGUUUAAAUGGUUUAACUCACUUGCUAGAGACGCAUCAGCACCUGACAAGGUAUAAGACCAAGACUACGAUAAGGGCCAGAUUUACUUCUUCUUCUUAUUAUUAUGAAGGAGGCCACAUUAAGCGUGUAUUCAGCACCUGAUUCAGUAAGACAGAAGCUCAUUAUGCAGUCAGCUUCUGGACUGAACCUGGUACUGACACAUACUAGACACAUACUGCAAAUGAAGGAGAGCUCUGAUCUUGAAUACAAAAUUUGGGUUGCACCUGAACAGAUAAUAUUAGUAAUAAUAUUACUCCUAAAUUAUAUUUGAAUCCUUAGCAUAUAUAAUUCUUAACGCAUUAGAAAACACUAAACACACUCAUGGGAAUUGAAAAGGAGAUGAAGUGAUAUAAUUAAAGCAAACCAAAGAGAGAGAGGGAGGCAGCAAGAGAGAGAAAGGAAGGAGCAGCAGGUCCAGCAGCAGCUCAGAGUGGAGGACGUGGAGAUGCUUUUAAUAUGGAUGUUAAUACUGAGGUAAAUGCAGCCCAACACACAAAAAUAUCUUAACAAAAGGAAAGAAAAGUUUAAUUCCAGCCUGUAGAGUUUUUACAGUUCCUUCAAAAAUAGUGUUUAUUCAUAGAUUCCCGUUACGCCAGCUACCGUUUACUUUUUUCCUGUCCUGUCAUGAAUAGUGAAAUUAACUCCAAUCCCUUGAUCCACAGGAUUCCCAAACAUAGCGCAAAUACUGGGGCUCUCCAAACUGGCUGGGUUACAAGGCUCCAGCUGAUUAGCCACUAUCUAACAACCACAAGAAUUACCACAAGAUAACACCCAGGUUGUGUCCUACCUUUCUUCAUAUCCCUGAAAGGCGGGUUGCUGAAGCAGUAUGGGCAUAGGGGGUAGCUCUUGCCCCGGGACCCAGAGGUCCACAGCACAAGCUCAAAGUCAUCCAGUGGACAGCGGAGCUCUUUAUACAGCUUGAUGGCUCCAUUCUGGGGAAGACUGUACGUCUCGUCACAGUGGGAGCAGUGGAGCCUGCUGGGCUUCGCCUGCAGAUAGAUGUUAGGAUCAGAUGUAAGGAUCAGAUCAAGUGCAGUUGAAACAACAAGGGAUCAACAUCAAGUCCUUCCCUAACCAACCUUAGAGACCAUACUGUCACCGAUUAUCAAAGAAAAAUGGAUGCUGUAUCUAUGUAUAAGUGUGUUUGUAGUCAGUCUUGUAGCACUAGUUAUUUGCAGUUUAAUACAACAUGCACCCUAAUUAGAAAUCUAGUUCUACUGUUGACCACUUACACUGUUGCUGACGAUAUCAUCUUGUAUGCAAGUAGGGCCUUAUUCACUAUGGGAACCUAACCAUCCAAAAUUUUUUCCAUAACCUUAAUUUUGAAUAACCUGUAAGUCUUUGGUUCUAGGUUCUACCUUGUAUAUUCAAAACAUUCUGCAUUGUAAAAUACAUCACUAAACCAAGACCAGACCAGGACAAAUCUUGUCUUUUUUAUGCACUUUUUUGAAAGGCGAGUGUACUUGUCAGCAAACAACAAUGCAAAACUGGAAUGCCCUUAAUGUAAAGGCCCCAUCUGCAGCAGUAGGUCAAUAGAAUGGAGCAGAGAAUGAAUAAGACCAGCACCACCACUGACUAUCUCUCUAGGGUGGGUUGCUUCAGGACAGUGUGUCCUGAAGCAACCCUUCCAUUCUCUCUUUCUCAAAUUCAAAUUAGCUUUAUAGUCAUGAAUGUAUAGCUCUCUGUCAGCUCUAUACCAUUAAAUCAACCCACUGCUCGAUUCUCUCAAUCACAAACUGGGGAAGUGCAGCUGAAGAAGCUGCUGGGGAACAGAUUAAGGGAUGCAGUGCAAUCCGUUCUCAGUUCUGAGCGCUUUUUGUGUAGUGUAGUGUUUGGUCACACUGUCCUGUUAUAUAGUUGGGGAAAAAAAACUCACUUUUGAAAAUGUUAUAUGAAUUGGAAAUACCAACAUCACUUGAAUGUUAGUGGAAAAUAUUAUAUUUGUAGCAUACUCCACAACACUGUGUAAACAAUCAGUUUGCAGUUUACACAGACAAAUGAAUAACAAAAAUGUAACAUAUUGAAACAUGCUUCCUUACAGUGCUAAUCUAGACGUCCUGUGUUAUUAAUGCCAUGUUGCUUCUGCAAGCAAGCCGUUUCUAUGCCCCUGUGAUUAUCUGGAACGUGGAUUUAGUACCACCUGCUAUGCAAUGCCAAAACUGGACUUACAGGAACUCAUCCACAAUGUGGGCAGAGUGCAAUGGAAACAAAAGUGGAACCUGUGACAAUGGCUUAGGGGUUGCUUAGUUACCACAGAGGAAAAGGCCUAAUGGGCUCUAUGGCAAACUGGUCAUUCACCUAUUGAUGACCACCAAACUGCCAUUAUUAUUUACACUAUCAUGAUUUAUUAUUAUUUUGGAGUUAUACAUUUUCACGUUCUGAAGCCACUGUAUGUAUGAAGAAAAAUAUUAUUAAAACACUUACAAUG